GACUGGAUAGCCUAGUGUUAAAGGCAUUGCAUUGUCAAUGCUGUGGUCCUAGGUUCAAAUCCUGGUCUAGUCA
rnacentral:tRNA from 1 species